rnacentral:rRNA from 1 species
UACAGAGGGGGCAAGCGUUGUUCGGGAUUACUGGGCGUAAAGGGCGCGUAGGCGGCCUGUUAAGUCGAACGUGAAAUCCCCGGGCUCAACCCGGGAACUGCGUCCGAUACUGGCAGGCUUGAAUCCGGGAGAGGGAUGCGGAAUUCCAGGUGUAGCGGUGAAAUGCGUAGAUAUCUGGAGGAACACCGGUGGCGAAGGCGGCAUCCUGGACCGGCAUGACGCUGAGGCGCGAAAGGCCAGGGGAGCGAAACGGGG